UACGUAGGUGGCAAGCGUUGUCCGGAAUUAUUGGGCGUAAAGCGCGUGCAGGUGGUUUCUUAAGUCUGAUGUGAAAGCCCACGGCUCAACCGUGGAGGGUCAUUGGAAACUGGGGAACUUGAGUGCAGGAGAGAAGAGUGGAAUUCCACGUGUAGCGGUGAAAUGCGUAGAGAUGUGGAGGAACACCAGUGGCGAAGGCGACUCUUUGGCCUGUAACUGACGCUGAGGCGCGAAAGCGUGGGGAGCAAACAGG
rnacentral:rRNA from 1 species